rnacentral:lncRNA from 15 species
GUAACCCGUCGACACACAGCCGACCGACUGUGCGUCAGUGUGCGCGCUAGCAUGUUGUGACCGUGAUGUGUAACAGCUAAAGGUCACAUCAGAAUUGUCAUUUCUUUUACUUAAGUUUAAUUUAUUUUUUAUGUCACAGUAUUGUUGUAGAUAGAGGGAUGGCAAAAACUGUUGAAAAAAUAAACAGACAUUAUAAUUUUAAUUAUAAUUUUUUUCUCAUCUCAUAUUUGGCGCCCCUCACUAGGUGGCGCCCUAGGCGAGCGUCUAUGUCACCUGUAGGAGGGACCGCCACUGGAUUUGGCAAUGUUGCUCAAGGUGAAGUACCAGAAUACCAAGAAGUAUGUCCGAUUACUGUCAGGGUCCACCUUUUUGGAUUUCAUCGCUCAAGUCAAAUACAAGUUUGGGCUUCCUGAUGCUACUGAACUUGAGGCUGUUGGGAUCCAAGGAUACCCCUAAAUAUGAACUUGUUCAUUUGAAGUGUUUAACUGAAACACGAAGGGACAUGUUGGAAUGUGUGCUCAGAAACUCUUGAGGCCUGUAUGUAAAAGUAUAGGCCUGUGUGACAGAUUGAUUUUAUGUAAAAAUAACAGUUGUUUAAAAAGCAAUGAAUAUAGAAUACAUGUUAAGAAGUUUAAUUAACAGAGUUAAAAACUAAUGGCAUAAGGAUACUUACCUGUCAGAAGUUGAAUUAUUCUGUGAUCAUCUGUUGAUCCUUUUCUGGGAAACCACCUGUGAUCGAUUAGUUAUGUCUGCAGAGGUCGGAAGGGGGAGCUCUCGGGCCACGAUGCCUCAUUCUGAAUGAAGCUGCCAGAAGAGAAGCAUCCUGUCCCUACGUUUCAUUUAUUCACUCCCCUUUUCAGGUACAGAAUGUAUAGAGUAUUUAUAUAGUUGAUGUUAUUGGAAGGGUAAAAUAUGUUCGAUAUGAGGUUUUGUUGAUGUGCCGACUAAGUGUGGUGUUACGGGCAUUAAUGUUCGGGUUUUGGAGUGGCGCUAAUUGAGAUGCUAAUUAGCAGCAAGCUAAACUCUGGCCGGCACAGAGCGUCACGUGACCGCAGGCACAGCGCAUAUUGUGUGCAUAACUGACUGUUUAUGUGUUUGUUUAGUAAUGGAUGUUUUUGUUUAUAGUGUUAAUUAACUGUCAAAAGGCUUGAAGUGCUUGUUAUUAGAUAUUAUUUGGGUUAUUGCAAUUACAUAUAAUUUUGAUAUUUGAAAUAUUGUUUAUUGAUUAUCUGAAUAUUUUAUAUUUUUCUAACCUGAUACUAUUUGUAAGUAUAAUUUUGUAAAUAAUAAAUUCUAAAUGAAGCUGCCAGAAGAGAAGCAUCGUGUCCCUACGUUUCAUUUAUUCACUCCCCUUUUCAGGGCGCAACAUUAGCACUGUUGCCUCACAACAACGUGGUUCUGUCAGCUGGCUAAGG